AAGUGGUAACAGGUAAUUCCAUAGUCAAUGCAAAAAUAAUGUUGCUCUUGGAAGUGUCUAGUAGAAACAUGGAUUAAGUGGAGUUAGCUGACAGCAAAGGUGACCAACUGUGUACCAUGUUCGGGCCAACCCUCAACGCUGCCUUGACCAAGUAUUGAUAACCAAGCUCAUCCGGGUAAAAUACAUCAAAAUUUAAAAUUAUGAGUGGAUUUGGAGUGAACGCUGCUUUACCCCAACUCUAUUAUGGAGUACAAUCGCCCCCUCUGGUGGUUAGAUAAUGUCAAUUCCUGGUCUGUGUUCAUCAAUUCAGAUUUUUGAUGGGAGGCUUUUCUCCAGAUGGUCCUCUGUUUCAUAAAAAAAAUAGCUUGUUAGCUUCAUUGAUCACUCUAAAUUGUCCAUAGAUGUAAAUGUGGUUGUAAACAUAAAAAGUCACACCAUAUGUAAAUGUGGGUGUAAACAUAAAAAGUCACACCAGCAGUGUGUGGUUUGACUAAUGUCUCUGUUCUAAGGGCCAGUAAAUGUACACCAUAUAUCAGACAUAAUUUAUCAAAAAUUUGCGCUAUACUGCUAUUGAUAAUGUUUUUUUCAUCCAAUUUUGCACCCCCCCCCAAAAAAAAGAAAUACAGGUUUCAUUUGUUAUUGACUCGUGUGUUCUUAAGAUGACCUCAUGAAAACGAUGAUCUCAUCCAUCGACAGUAAGUCCUUUGACAUUUGAAUACAGGUGGACGUGUCGUCCCUUGGGGCUAUGUGGGUGCUGUUGAAAUCUGUCAAACGCGGGGUUAGUCAGCACGAUGGGCACUUUCAAAAUCCUAAAUCAUUCGAAAUAAAAAAGUGUCAGCGUGAUGUGUGAA